GACGAACGCUGGCGGCGUGCUUAACACAUGCAAGUCGAGCGGUAAGGCCCUUUCGGGGGUACACGAGCGGCGAACGGGUGAGUAACACGUGGGUGACCUGCCCUCAGCUCUGGGAUAAGCCUGGGAAACUGGGUCUAAUACUGGAUAUGACUCCACGGUGCAUGUCGUGGGGUGGAAAGCCUUGUGCGGCUGAGGAUGGGCCCGCGGCCUAUCAGCUUGUUGGUGGGGUGAUGGCCUACCAAGGCGACGACGGGUAGCCGGCCUGAGAGGGCGACCGGCCACACUGGGACUGAGACACGGCCCAGACUCCUACGGGAGGCAGCAGUGGGGAAUCUUGCGCAAUGGGCGAAAGCCUGACGCAGCGACGCCGCGUGGGGAUGACGGCCUGG
rnacentral:rRNA from 1 species